AUUGAACGCUGGCGGCAGGCCUAACACAUGCAAGUCGAACGAGUGGCGGACGGGUGAGUAACGUCUGGUAAACCUCCUGAUGGGGGGGGAUAACCACUGGCAACGGUAGCUAAUACCUCAUUCCAUAGGAUGUUCCCAGCUGGGAUCGGCUUGUUGGUGGGGUAACUGCUCACCUAGGCGACGAUCCCUAGCUGGGCUGAGAGGAUGACCAGCCACACGGGAACUGAGACACGGUCCAGACUCCUACGGGAGGCAGCAGUGGGGAAUAUUGCACAAUGGGCGAAAGCCUGAUGCAGCCAUGCCGCGUGUAUGAAGAAGGCCUUCGGAUUGUAAAGUACUUUCAGCGGGGAGGCGUUACCAGCAGAAGAAGCACCGGCUAACUCCGUGCCAGCAGCCGCGGUAAUUC
rnacentral:rRNA from 1 species